ensembl:antisense
GCCCCGCGAUGCGGUCACAGGGCCCGCCGCCCUGUCAGACUUACAGCCGCCGAACAGCACUCGGUUGAGUUCAUAAUGGAGUUAGAUGUACACGGCAGCCCGGAGCCCAGAAUGUCGAUCGAGCGACGGCUGUCCUGUCUGGCUUGAACUUCACCUUCCCUCUACUCCACGAUUCCCCUUGGAAGGUCUCAAGAUCUCGCGAGAACUCUGCCCUCUAGCAGUGAGGCCUUGAAAGUUCCUGUAGGCCUCUUGCCUCUCGGUUGCUCACGAUGGCGUUGUCUGUUUCUGUUGUUGUUGUUGUGUUUUGGGGUUUGUCCUUUCGUCCUCUCCUGCGCUCCACCUUUUCCCCUCGUUUCCAAGCUGUGUGGGUUCUCCGGUUUAAUUAGCUAUUGUCUUCUCCGAGGGCAGCCUUUCUAAAACCGGAGUUAGGCGCAAAGAGACCCAAAACCAAGAGGGCAGCGGGUCACGUGGCCACAGGUGUCCCGUGGAGUGGCCAUUUUGUGCAGUAGGAAACGGUUGCUUGAGUACAGUGUUCGGAAUGGGGGGCGGGGUAGGGGGAAGGGGCGGUUGGUGGUCAGGGUGGGGUCGGGGGAGGUAAAGGGGAGUGGAGAAUGUGUUUCCCUUAAGACCAAGUAAGGACAAAAAGCUCGAACCUGUUAACCCGAUGGAGGGGGCCACCCCAUAAUUGCCCAGACCGGGCUUGGAGGCCAUGGAAAGAACGCUGACGUGCUGGUGGCAGCACUAGUUCCACAGAGUAAAGGACACACGGAAACCAGCUGCCUUGCAUCUCCUAGUGCUGGGUAUUCAGAGCCCUAAACUUCUCAGAUCCAGCCUGAGUGGGAUUCACCCCACAUCCGAGACUUGACGUGAGCCCUGCUCCUGCAGCCAGCUAAGCGUCUCCCUGGUGUGCAGGUUGAGGGGCUGCUGGAGGGGCUCCUGCUCUGCAUAAACAAGACACCUUGGUUAUCCUGCUUGGUAUGGGGCAAGAAGAGAGGGCUUGUGUGUAGCGAAAUCACUCCACAAUGGGUGAUUUGGGCCAAAUAGUGUUUAAAGAUGUGGCUUUGACCGUGGGCUCCCUUGGAGGUCUAAGGGAUGGUACAAAAUGUAUGCUACUCCCUUUUGUGCAAGAUAUUUGUAAUCUGGAAAGAUGGCUCAGCACUUAAAAGCACUUGCUGCUCUUGCAGAGGCCUGGACUUGGUUUCCCAGCACCCACAUUUGGAGGCUCACAACUGCUGUUAAUGUUAGUUCCAGGGGAAUCUGAUGCCCCCUUCUGGCACCUGUACCCCAGCAGUCACAUACAAAAUAACAAGCACAUACAUAUACACAUACAUUUUUAAAGUGGUUUAAUAACUGCAACAGAAAAUAUCAUUAUUGGUUUACUUCAUAAUAGAUUUUGUACAUUCUGCGUCUGCUGUAUAUAAAUGUUAAUUGAAAAUAGGGCUUGUCUCUCUCUCUUUCACAGAAGCUUUAGAAUCUAGGCAAAAAUGACUGACCCAUAUGACACUGGUGUACAGAAGAGAGUGAAUGACGAUGUAUGGUGUACAGAAGAGAGUGGGUGAAGGAUGUUUGUUUUCAUGGGUUCUUUUAGGAUCUUUAACCCCACAAUGGACAGCUGAAAAACGAAGUCAGUAUACCCAGGAGAGAGAUCAGAAACUUAGACAAAAAGGUGAUUCCUUGAUCCCAUUAAGUCUGAGGUCUGUCUAACCUUUGAACCUCUAAAUUACAUGAACUGUUAGGUCCUUUGUAUCUUUAUGCCAUUUUAAAAUGGAUUUUUAAAGUUAAUGAGAACAUGGAGUCCCCGGUUGACACCAGUAUGGGCUACUAAACCAGAUUUAAUCAAAUCUUUUCACCAUAAGAAGUGUGGGAUAAAGGACCAAAGGGAUAAACAUCCUGACCAUGACUUAACCUCAAGCUGGAGACCUGGGCCAAGAAAUAGAGUCCCACCAAUCCUUGAGCUUACUCCAGAAACCCACCCAUCCCUGAAUGGGAAAACCCACCAAUCCCUGACCUCUCUUAAAGUCAAGAAUUGAAAUCUUACCAAUCCUCACCUUGGAACUAUGCAUCUUGAAAGCUUUCCCCUACCCCCAAGAGACACUGGCCUUCUGCUCAGGUCCCUGGUGCUGCUCUACCAAGCAGAGCUAUCCACCCUCCUGAGGUUUUUUUCCUCCCAAUAGAUCUGUGAGGUUGUGUGGUGUGAGUGCAGUCUUCCUUCUUUGAUUCCUGAUUGCCAUGAUAUCUCUGGCAGCAGAGAUGUAACACUUCUGCCUCAGCCUAGUUUUGGUUGGGAAACCUGCUCCUGUCAGAGCAGAAAUGUUACACUUGCAUCAGGGAAACCUUUCUGGGCAGCUGGCGCAGAGCUGUUACAAGACGGAAAUACUAACAACUAGAACUCAGGCAUGCUGUUUAAAAGAACUUUGAGAAUUAGGGAAAGGCCAAAAAGGGUCUUUGAGAUAACUAGGUGAGAUGAGUAACUUUAUUCUGAAUGUGCUCGAAUCUUUACCAGCAUUAGUGCUAUGAACCUUCACUACUUCAAGUGCUUCCUUGCUAGCUUUUCUGAUAUACCUGGGCUCAUGAUUAUGUCAUGGCCAGGGGGUUGGUUAAAUGGUUAGCCUUAUGUUGCUCCAACUCUGUUUUAAAAAUUCUUCCUCCAAAUAAAUUAUUGGUGUUGAAUUUCAGGUAGGUAGCCUUCCAGAAUAGCUCUCUUUCUCAGCAGUUCCAUUUUUUUGCUAUUCUCCACCGUUUGAAUAUAGAAGUGAUAGGGUGGAAUUUCUGUUAUUAGGUUGUAAAACACCAACACCAUGUGUUCAUCUUGUUGGACUCGUGCACUAUAAAUAAAACUCAAGCUAUAAAAUAUAAUCUGAAAGGAAUCAUGAAAACAUGUCAUGUUCUGGAUUCUAAACCAUAAAAAAAUGUGAGUGAUAAU